GGUGAUAAAUAAAUGGUAAGGAAUAGGAUAUAUUGGAGCAUAUGAGGAAGCCAUUUGGUGUAAAACUAAUUAGGCCUGACCUUGUUUUACCAAUAAGGGCCUGACCAACUGGCCACUGAAGAU